rnacentral:tRNA from 1 species
GCGGGUGUAAUUCAGUGGUAGAAUGCUUCCUUGCCAAGGAAGAUGUCGAGAGUUCGAAUCUCUUCGCCCGCU